UUAUCAAAACAUGUCUAUUGAUGGUAUAAAUAGUCUGGCCUGCCCACUGAUUUAAAUAUUUAAGGGCCGCGGUAUUUUAACCGUGCAAAGGUAGCAUAAUCAUUAGGUUUUUAAUUAGAAUCUUGUAUGAACGGUUCGACAAAAGAAAUUCUGUCUUUGUACUAAAAUUUGAAAUUAACUUUUAAGUGAAAAGGCUUAAAUAUAUUAAAGGGACGAUAAGACCCUAUAAAACUUUACAUUGUAAUUUUAUUUAAUUAAAUUUAUAAAUAAAGAUUUGAUUUAAUUAUAUGUUAUGUUGGGGAGACAAAGGUAAAAUAAAUUUUAACUGCUUUAUGUUGAAACAUAUAUUUAUGAAAGUGUUAAAUGAUCCUUUAUAAAGAUUAAAAGAUUAAGUUACUUUAGGGAUAACAGCGUUAUUUUUUUCGAGAGUUCAUAUCGAAAAAAAAGUUUGCGACCUCGAUGUUGAAUUAAAAUAUCUUUAUAGUGCAGUAGCUAUAAAAGAAGGUCUGUUCGACCUUUAAAUUUUUACAUGAUUUGAGUUCAAACCGGCGUGAGCCAGGUUGGUUUCUAUCUUUUAAAUAAUAAUAGGUUAUUUUAGUACGAAAGGAGUAAAUAACUAAAAUAUUUUUAUAU
rnacentral:rRNA from 1 species